UACGAAGGGGGCUAGCGUUGCUCGGAAUCACUGGGCGUAAAGCGCACGUAGGCGGAUCUUUAAGUCAGGGGUGAAAUCCCGGAGCUCAACCCCGGAACUGCCUUUGAUACUGAGGGUCUCGAGUUCGGGAGAGGUGAGUGGAACUGCGAGUGUAGAGGUGAAAUUCGUAGAUAUUCGCAAGAACACCAGUGGCGAAGGCGGCUCACUGGCCCGAUACUGACGCUGAGGUGCGAAAGCGUGGGGAGCAAACAGG
rnacentral:rRNA from 1 species